rnacentral:rRNA from 1 species
GGGUGCGAACAUACCAGCAAUAAUGCACCGGAUCCCAUCAGAACUCCGCAGUUAAGCUUGCUUGGGCGAGAGCAGUACUAGGAUGGGUGACCUCCUGGGAAGUCCUCGUGUUGCACCCCUC